rnacentral:rRNA from 1 species
AGCUCCAAUAGCGUAUAUUAAAGUUGUUGCAGUUAAAAAGCUCGUAGUUGGAUUUCUGAUUCAAAGUUCCGGUCCUGCGCUGUGCGUAGUGAACUGUGAAAGUUUGGAUCAUCCUUGUGGGAAGGCCAGUUGGGCAUUAAGUUGUCGAUUGGUGGAACCGCAUCGUUUACUGUGAAAAAUUAGAGUGUUCAAAGCAGGCUUAGGCUGUGAAUACAUUAGCAUGGAAUAAUAAGAUAGGACUUUGGUUCUAUUUUGUUGGUUGGAGGCCAAGGUAAUGAUUAAUAGGGAUAGUUGGGGGUAUUCAUAUUUAAUUGUCAGAGGUGAAAUUCUUGGAUUUAUGAAAGAUGAACUUAUGCGAAAGCAUUUACCAAGGAUGUUUUCA